rnacentral:lncRNA from 1 species
UGGAUGCUCUGGAGGUUGCGUCCUCGAGUGCCUUGAGAUUUUCCUGCUACUGCUUAACGUACUUAGUUGGCCAAUCAGUUUAGAAAAUUAUUUGGCCAAUCAGUUAAGAAAAUUAUUUUGUUGGAUAUGUAGGUAUGUGCAAGAAGAGGAGCCGACCUUCUCGAAGCCGGGGAUGACAGUGGAUAGCUCAAUGAAUCGUCGGUUGAUCUUCUCUCGGCGCUUCCGCUUCUGCUCCGCUGCAAGAGAGAGGGGCGGCAGGGGCAGAACCGAAGGACGGUGAGGAGGGAGCGGCGGGUCUGCGGGUAGACCAGACGGGGGCGGCAGCGAGAGUCUGCCUACAGGACGGACGGCUGCCGAGGGGCGGCGAUGAGGGGAGGAGGCGGUAGGGCGUCGGGGAGGUUGGGGAUGGAGCAAAUCUGUGCGAAUUCGAGGGAGGGAGGUUGAGGAUGAUCCUGAAAUUACGGAUCACAUCGGUCAUCAGGGGGGAGUGCGCGACCAUGGUCUGCCGUGGCAGAACAUUAAAUCACAGCCGUUCAACCGGUUGGCAGACCAUCGGGUCAUUAUAUACUGUUAGAUUUGACUAAAUGGAUCAGAUCUGAGGGUUCUGAUUGUUCUGUGUACACUUGUUUGGGUGGUUGUAAAAUAACUCUAGUUUGCUCUUUUAAUAGUAGUAUAGAUUAAAAACAACAACUAAACAACAUUAUGUACUACGCCCUCUGUAAACUAAACUGAAAAAAUGUCUUAUAUUAACAUAUAAAGGUAAUAUUUAUCGAGGAGAUCCUCCUCCGUCUUCAUGUAUUUUUAGAGGGAUAAUAAAAUAUUGGAUUUUUUAGAGAGAUAAAAAUAAUUAUUGAAUCUCAAUUGAAAAAUGACAAAUAUAUUCAUGUUAAAUUUAGAAAUCAUAAAUCCAAAUAAAAAAGGUGAUUUUAAAAAAAAAAUAAACAUGCUAAUAUCACUCAACUUAGUCUUAGUCAACUGAAAUCUAACUACACCUUUACAAAUACUUUAAUUUUUGAUAUGAUUCAUUCGUUGCCUACCUAGCAGCUAGCUUGGUUUCCGAUUCAAGAACGCAAUCGUGAAUUAGCAGGUAAAAAAAACUCAGCCGAGCGCUAGGCAUCCGGCAUCAAACGAACGGCUGGGCUGGAUUGAUCGGGCUUUUGAUAAUUUUCUGGCCCAUAUCAAUGGACAGGGAGACGGUUCCCUCAGUUAGGCCCCUCACACCGUCACCUACCUACCUACCCACCGCUUCACCUAAAAAAAAUCCCACCGGCCGUCACAUUUCUCCCCGUCGUUCCCCAUUCUUCCUCUCCCCGUCUCCUCGGGCCACCCCUCCCCUUCGUACCCACUGCCACCAAGAGGAGCUCGGCAUGCACGGGAGCAUCCCAGCGCUAGGCUCCGUCGGAGGUGCGGGACUUCCACGCCCCUGCUCUUCCCCGUCCUUCUUCGAAUCUGCUCGCCGAAGUGCCGAAGGAUGCGCUCGAGCUCAGCAUGCUCACGAGCGACCCAGCGCGGAUGCCCGCAACAAGACAACAAGGAGCGGGCGUGGGUGCGCAAAAAUAUAUGGGCACAGUUCGAUGCCUCCACUGGUAUGAGCUAUGUUAUUGUGAAAUGAAUUCUCAUUGAUGUAUUUACUGUCAGGAUUAAUUCUAAUUUGAUCUUAGUCCUUAGACAUUACUUCGUGUCAACUCUGGAUUAUCCUAUCUUUGCACUUAAAUUUUAAUUCGUACUGUGCAGUUUACCGUGUACUAAUGUGACCAUAAUUUCAAUUAGGCGUGCCUUCGUUUGAUAUGCUAUUCAAGAUCCCUGUACAAUUGUGUUAUUCAAGAUACAAUGGCACUCGAUGAUGCUUGCUAAGAAGGUCUGCAGUAUCCACUGGACUGUUGCUUGCCAGAUGACUGGAAGAUGGGUACUUCAUCCUCUCUUGUUUGUUCAUUUGAAGCGAGAUAAAUAAGAUUCAUGCAUUGUAAUGAAAACUGCAGAUUUAGCUAAACUCAACUGAUGGUGUAAUAUCUCUUCCUAUGAGCUGCAGUAAUGGUAUCUUCUGUAGGAGUAAUAAGGCAUUGCUGCAUAAACAUACUUGACUUUCAAAUGAGCGUGUCAAGAGGUUUAAUUAGUGUCGAUCCCUACUCUAAUUAUAUCUGGAUAUAUGGUUCCUGUACUAUUUGAAACUUAUCAAUCAGAUGUACAGAAUAACAGAAAUUUGCUAGAUAAGCUAACGUUACAAGGGGAAGUAAAAAUUAAACAUUUCAUAUAGUGAUUUUUAAUAUCUGAUAUGUCAUCAUCGUGUGUUUCCUAUUGUAGAUAAAAUUUGGACCAUGGCUCGGUAUGAUCAAUUGGAGAAGACAUUACUAUGACUACAAAGAUCUGUUUUUUCAGGUGAUGAAUUGUAACCUUAUAUUCUUUAUUACUUGGAAUUGAAAAUCACUGGAAGCAAUCUGUAAUUACUUCGGAGAGAAUAUUUUACUCUUUUCUAUCUUGCUCUUGUUCAGCAUAGGAUGUACUCCGUAUAUCAUUAUCACUAUCAUGGUGUAUUUUUGCCAUUGAGGAAUCUUCCCAUGUAGCAAAUUUACCUAGAAAAUACAAAACUUUGGCAUAUCACCAUCAGGUGCAGACGUACUCUUUCCCCCAAAUACUACAGCAGUAUCCCUACAAUCAGAUGUACAAAAAUUUGCUUGCUAAAAAACUAAUCAAUAAUCCAUGAAAUCUAACUGGAUUAAUUAAGGAUCAAGCCACUCACCUUGUGGCUACAAUCGACCAGAUUGACCUCUCCACGUUCCUGCAUGUGAAGAACUGAUCAGUGCCCCAAUUCAAAACUACUGCAUGCAUACCUUAUACAUGAAGCCCUUACUCAAAAUUCAGAAAAUAUGCAGAAUAACCAUUUUUAUUGACAUAGCUAUCUGCAGUCCUAGACAAAGUGUGACCAUAAUCUACACUACUACACAUGAAUUACUAUAUAGCUACCUUAUUGGGGCCUAUAUGCCUGAUCCUCAUAUCUUCUUGUUUGGCAAAGAGUUCACAAUUUGCACUUAUUAGUCUUGAAUGGAGAAGAUUGCACAUGCUAUUGUACAACUGGGCAAUGGUGUGGAGCUCCAUAAGCGACGCCGGCGACUCCAAUUGUCCUUCUCGCCUAUGCAUCCCGACAGAGAAGCUUUAGAAACUAUAAUCUGUCUACUCCUUGUUCAGGUUCAGUAAUGAACAUAUUAUUAUACAAAUUAAUUUAACAAAACUGGAUUCUCUUUUUUGGUGAUGAAACUGUAGCAACAUUAGCACAGUUUUUGUCAAUACUACAAAAGAGGGGGAUAGUUGAUCGUUGGAAACACCAUUGACACAGGCUUGACGCACAACUGGGUUAUAGAUCAAUUGUCUUCCCACUUCAGUAACACCAUGAUCUUGUACUUGCUUUUUGAAAAUCAUGGACGAACAACCUAUGAUCUGGUACCAAUUUUUGGCACAACCAUGAACUCCCAAAGCGAUUCACCAGAGUGAUUUAUGCUUUCUGACGGGUAUGCACAUAUAAGAUGGAUUUCUUCCGAACCGAUUGGAAGCAUACGGCAACAUGGGCGUACACAAGCGCUAGCCUAAGCAUGCAGGUAGAUAUUAUAGACAUCUUGUUGAUGCAGGUGUGCAAGGAUGCAAUAUUCAUGACCGAGCGCUACGUCGGUGGAUCUGUAUCUUUGGGUUCAGAAUUUUGAAAGAAAGGGGAUGUGGGAAACAAUAAGAGGGGAGCUCUACCUCCAGCAGCACUUUCCCGGUCGUCGGCGUCGUGCUUCCAGCUACGGCCGCUGCAGACGAUGGCGGGCAGCAGCCGCCGACGCCUUCCGGCGCGGCUGUGCACAACUUCCCGAUGAGCACCGUGGACUGGAUGCUCUGGAGGUUGCGUCCUCGAGUGCCUUGAGAUUUUCCUGCUACUGCUUAACGUACUUAGUUGGCCAAUCAGUUUAGAAAAUUAUUUGGCCAAUCAGUUAAGAAAAUUAUUUUGUUGGAUAUGUAGGUAUGUGCAAGAAGAGGAGCCGACCUUCUCGAAGCCGGGGAUGACAGUGGAUAGCUCAAUGAAUCGUCGGUUGAUCUUCUCUCGGCGCUUCCGCUUCUGCUCCGCUGCAAGAGAGAGGGGCGGCAGGGGCAGAACCGAAGGACGGUGAGGAGGGAGCGGCGGGUCUGCGGGUAGACCAGACGGGGGCGGCAGCGAGAGUCUGCCUACAGGACGGACGGCUGCCGAGGGGCGGCGAUGAGGGGAGGAGGCGGUAGGGCGUCGGGGAGGUUGGGGAUGGAGCAAAUCUGUGCGAAUUCGAGGGAGGGAGGUUGAGGAUGAUCCUGAAAUUACGGAUCACAUCGGUCAUCAGGGGGGAGUGCGCGACCAUGGUCUGCCGUGGCAGAACAUUAAAUCACAGCCGUUCAACCGGUUGGCAGACCAUCGGGUCAUUAUAUACUGUUAGAUUUGACUAAAUGGAUUAGAUCUGAGGGUUCUGAUUGUUCUGUGUACACUUGUUUGGGUGGUUGUAAAAUAACUCUAGUUUGCUCUUUUAAUAGUAGUA